AUUGAACGCUGGCGGCAGGCCUAACACAUGCAAGUCGAGCGGAUGAAGGGAGCUUGCUCCUUGAUACAGCGGCGGACGGGUGAGUAAUGCCUAGGAAUCUGCCUAGUAGUGGGGGACAACGUUUCGAAAGGAACGCUAAUACCGCAUACGUCCUACGGGAGAAAGUGGGGGCUCUUCGGACCUCACGCUAUUAGAUGAGCCUAGGUCGGAUUAGCUAGUUGGUAGGGUAAAGGCCUACUAAGGCGACGAUCCGUAACUGGUCUGAGAGGAUGAUCAGGCACACUGGAACUGAGACAAGGUCCAGACUCCUACGGGAGGCAGCAGUGGGGAAUAUUGGACAAUGGGCGCAAGCCUGAUCCAGCCAUGCCGCGUGUGGGAAGAAGGCCUUCGGGUCGUAAAGCACUUUUAGUUGGGAGGAAGGGCUUACGGUUAAUACCUGUGAGUUUUGACGUUACCAACAGAAUAAGCACCGGCUAACUUCGUGCCAGCCGCCGCCGUAA
rnacentral:rRNA from 1 species